UGAAACACCCUCUCUCUACCUCACCGAGAGGUUGGCGGCACCCACCUAAUCGGUGAAACCACUCCCCGCCUCCCUCCCCGAAUUACGCCCCGUGUACCCUAAUAACGGUUUCUGAUUUUUGGAAACAAAUAUAGAGCCGUCGAAAUUUGAAACGAACUAUUAUUAACCGAUCAGUUGAAUAAAUGCUUGAGAAUUCACUUGAGUUUCAUGUAAAAAAAUUGGGAAGCACUCAACACCUUCUCAAACAUCUUAUCUUAGAAACCACAAACCCAAAAAAAAAACUUUUAUCUUUAUCUUUUUCAAACUUUUAUCUUUAUCUUUUUCAAUGGCUGAUGUUGCCUUGAUCUGUUCUCAGCUAAACAAAUGGUAGAAAACCAUGUCCCAGAUUCACAGAUUCAAUCUGUGUUUGUUGAUGAAUGGAAGAAGCAGAUAAAACAUAGAUCUGGUCAUGUGUGGCUGCAAGAUAUCUGGGAUCCUGCAGAUCAGUCGGCUGAUUCGGUCGCCGAAGAUUUUCGGCAACCGUGGAGUCAAGAAUCUUGUGUCGGCCGAUUUAGUAAGCCUGGGAUAGGUACAGAAGGAAACGGAAACUAAAAUGAACUACAUUACUCACGCACGUUGCAGCGCGGGUACAUCUCAUAUGUCGUCACCAUUUUCGUGCAGUUUUCAAAAGUUUGAGGAUUCAAUAGAUGGUUUGAAUGAAAAUGAAUCGCAGGCAUGAUGCAGAGACUACAUUCCAAAGUAGGUAUAAGGUCUAUGGGUAGAAUGCUACAGAGCACAGAUCCAACAUUAUUAGAAUUUCAUAGAAGUCUUCCUCACAUAUGACUAUUCAAUUUUCUUUGGUUUAGAUUGGUUAGUGUCCACAUGUCAAUUUCCUAAUGUCUUGCUUUCCUUUGGAAUACCAUCCAUUCUUAGAGUGAGAAGAUGAAAAUUAUUAAAAAUCAUUUAUGUUUUGAUUUUACUAUGGGUUUCCCCUCAA